rnacentral:rRNA from 1 species
AUUGAACGCUGGCGGAAUGCUUUACACAUGCAAGUCGAACGGCAGCACGGACUUCGGUCUGGUGGCGAGUGGCAAACGGGUGAGUAAUGUAUCGGAACGUGCCCAGUCGUGGGGGAUAACGUAGCGAAAGCUACGCUAAUACCGCAUACGAUCUACGGAUGAAAGCGGGGGAUCGCAAGACCUCGCGCGAUUGGAGCGGCCGAUAUCAGAUUAGGUUGUUGGUGGGGUAAAAGCUCACCAAGCCUGCGAUCUGUAGCUGGUCUGAGAGGACGACCAGCCACACUGGAACUGAGACACGGUCCAGACUCCUACGGGAGGCAGCAGUGGGGAAUUUUGGACAAUGGACGCAAGUCUGAUCCAGCAAUGCCGCGUGCAGGACGAAGGCCUUCGGGUUGUAAACUGCUUUUGUACGGAACGAAACGGUGAGCUCUAAUACAGUUUGCUAAUGACGGUACCGUAAGAAUAAGCACCGGCUAACUACGUGCCAGCCGCCGCAGUAA